rnacentral:rRNA from 1 species
UGCUUAACACUGCAAGUCGGACGUAACACGGGCUUCGGCCUGGUGGCGAGUGGCGAACGGGUGAGUAAUGUAUCGGAACGUGCCCAGUAGCGGGGGAUAACUACGCGAAAGCGUGGCUAAUACCGCAUACGCCCUACGGGGGAAAGCGGGGGACCUUCGGGCCUCGCACUAUUGGAGCGGCCGAUAUCGGAUUAGCUAGUUGGUGGGGUAACGGCCUACCAAGGCGACGAUCCGUAGCUGGUUUGAGAGGACGACCAGCCACACUGGGACUGAGACACGGCCCAGACUCCUACGGGAGGCAGCAGUGGGGAAUUUUGGACAAUGGGGGCAACCCUGAUCCAGCCAUCCCGCGUGUGCGAUGAAGGCCUUCGGGUUGUAAAGCACUUUUGGCAGGAAAGAAACGGCACGGGCUAAUAUCCUGUGCAACUGACGGUACCUGCAGAAUAAGCACCGGCUAAACUACUUGCCAGCAGCCGCGGUAAUACGUAGGGUGCAAGCGUUUAUCGGAAUUACUGGGCGUAAAGC